GAACGCACAUUGCGCCCCCUGGUAUUCCGGGGGGCAUGCCUGUUCGAGCGUCAUUUCACCACUCAAGCCUCGCUUGGUAUUGGGCAACGCGGUCCGCCGCGUGCCUCAAAUCGUCCGGCUGGGUCUUCUGUCCCCUAAGCGUUGUGGAAACUAUUCGCUAAAGGGUGUUCGGGAGGCUACGCCGUAAAACAACCCCAUUUCUAAGGUUGACCUCGGAUCAGGUAGGAAUACCCGCUGAACUUAAG
rnacentral:misc_RNA from 1 species